ensembl:lncRNA
CUCUGCCUGUGGAAGCAGGCAUGUUCCUUUUAAUGCUCUAAGGCCAGGAAGUGGUGGAGACAGGAGGAAAUAUAGCAAAGUUUUUAAUAAGAUGGGAAUGAGGCAGAUACAGACCAGCUACGUAUGAGAUGCAGUUUCGGUUUCUGAAAAAAAGCAAGAAAUACAUGAAAGGUCAGCGUAGUCAGUGAAACUGAAAGUUGAGAGAACUCAGAUGAGGUAGUCUCAGAGGGCAAUGAAAGAGAGAAAUCUCUCACAGAGAAAGAAAACAAGAACGGCUUUGCCAAGGAGAAGCAGCAGACUAAACACACCAGGCACACCAAGUCAAAAAUCAUGGGGCAGAAACAAUCCAUCUGAAAGAGGGCCCUGGACCACACCCAACCCAUCAGACAUACCAUCCCCCGGUGUGACGAAGGCAAACGCCAUCCUGGCAACUCCCACCAAGGAAGCUCAGGGCUCCUUGCAGUGUGGUGCGGACAUGCCUCCAUCAAGCGUUAUGACUGUGAACCCUCCUCUUGAAUCUGGGCAGGCCUGUGACCAGGUACAAGUGAUUCUAUGUGACUUCCAAGACUGGUUAUAAAAGGUGACACACUUUCCUCUGGCCCCUCCUCUCUUGAGCCAUGCUCCUUGGGAGCCCCGGGGGGCCACGUAACAAGUCUGGGACCUUUGAUGCCUCCACGCUGGAGAAUCCACAUGGAGAGGUCACACAGAGAGAAGGAUGCAUCUGAGGAGCCCAGGUGUCUCAGACCAGGCACCAGUAAGCGAGCAAGCCUUAAGACGAUGCCACCCCAGCCUCUAAGCCUUCUGUCCUGAUCCUGAAUGGAAUGGAGACAGGCCACACAGCCAACCAGAAUCAAAAUUCCUGACCCACAGAAACCACGAGAGGCAACAGAUGAUUGUUUCAUAUCAAGUUUGGGGUGGGUCUGUCUGUCUAUCAGAUGACCAGAGCACUGCCAGUAAUGACUCCCCGUUUGCUUCUAACAGAGAAACCACAACAUGCUACUCUUUUGUUUAAGAAGGAUUCCAGCGGACCACAACG